UCUCGCAGUAAUUUGAGACAACCCGGGAAAAUUUGAAAUUUCAGCAAAAUUUCACAAGUUUCUAUACGAUUUCAGGUUGCCCAAUUGACUGCGUCGUGAACGAUUAUCAUUUGUAUUCAACGCCAUCGCAGCUUUAUUUGGGCGAUCAGGACGAAUUUUUCGAAGGAGAAAAGCACGGAGACGAAAUUGUGCACAGUGCUAUUCAUUUCUUCUACCCGUCUUUCAGUUACACGGUGAUCAAGAAUCAUCCCCAACGUCUUCUCAAAUGGCUCGGUGACGUAGGCAGCAAUAUGAGUCUCUAUUUGGGGGCCAGUUUUGUAACUCUGUUGGAAUUUAUCGUUCUCAUCUUGCGCUGCGCUAAAAGGUGGGCGACGCAAAUUCAAUAGUAGAACUAGCUUUGCCACUUCGUGUCGUCAUAACAUAUACUGUAGUCAACAAAAUGAAUCCGCAAGAGCAGUCGCAUUUUAACAAGCGAGCGAUUCACACGUAGCCUAAUGCUUUUUACUUGAUUGAAUUAAACAGACUCCUCCCCACACGCGAUCUCUACAACAUUAAAUAUGAUUAAACAAUUCUCUAGUUCUAAAAAUAAUUCUAUUGCUGACUUUGAAACAAUUCUUUGAUUUAAAAAGGAUGAUGACGAUCGAUUCCCCGCAAGAGCGCCACGAUUCUAUAAAAGUAGAGAAAGAAGUGUCAUAGAAACUUGGGAUAGCAGCCGUUCCCACUCUACUCUUUUCUUCUUUUAAAAUACAGCGCUUCUAUUAGGAGACUAUAUAUAACUCCAGCCCGAGCCCGUCGAAAACUAACCCCAUAUUUACGAACAACGCGGGCAAGAACUCUUACGAACAAUACGCAUUUGUAGCAAUUCAAGUAGAAGAUGGAGUGGAGUGCGUUUCGCGAUCGAACCUCAAUCACUCUUACUUCAACAGGGCUCCAAAGUCUCGGAUAGCGAUGGCUAGCACACAGGGCCAGACUAUUCCUGGAAGGGAUUAAAACGAGAUAAGGGAGAAAAAUAUAUCUUGACGUUGCCCCUAAGACUCUUUGGCGUUACACAUAAAAGACCAUUAAUUCCCAUUAGUUGGUCAUUUCUUGUGACCCUACGAUGUAUAGCACUAACGUGAAAUCUGCGGUGCUAAUUCCGUUUCUGAAUAAAAAAUUUCAAAAAGUUA